GGGUUGCCUCCUGAGGGUUUGCCUGCUCAGGUCAUGGGUACUCUGAUAACAGAAGGGGAGUAUUAACAUCACAGAUACACAUAAACUAAUGGGAAGGAGCUCCCUCUGAAAACCACAGUGGACAGCUACCAUGUCUAAGGAUACCAAAGCCAUCAAACACCAUUUCCAGUGUUGGGUGCCUGUGGGCAGCUCACCUUGAGAGACAGAAAUGAGCAGCGACCCUGUACAGUUUGACAGGCUUGACCCCCUGAAGCGGUCCUAUACUUCUCACAGGCUGGAACUGGUGUGGUGGUGGACUCUGAGAGUGUGUGAAGGGACGGGUCUCUGUUUUAUCGGCAAUGCUCUGCAGUUGGCCACUGGAGGGCGCUAACGAGCCACGGACUGGAAUUCUAGAUGCCCAUUUUAGUUCUUCAGAAAGCACAGCAGUCUCUUCUGGAUUCAGAACUCCAUCUCCAGCAUCAUGAUCUACAGAGAACCCAACACAAGACAAAAUAAGCAAACACCGUCUUCUGAAAUUCAGGUUGCUUCUUUUAAACCGCCUUAGGUCAUGUCAGCUCUGUGUUCCUGAGUGUCAAGGCUGAGCGGCUACACUGAAGCUGAAGCAGACCCAGCUGGCAGUGACAGAGCCGUCUCUGUCUGUGCACUAGCGUGCUCUCAGGAGUUGUUAGGACUUCCAGCCCUCCUUUUCUCCAGUUCAAGAAACAGGUAAUAACUCCAUCUAGCAGGAAGUCGCAUACUCAUUUUAGAAAGCUAUCUUAUAAAAUCUCCUAGAAGUAUACUGGGGGAAAAACAUUCAAUAGCCACUUCUCUAUCCUUUGAUUGUAUGACAAUUGUCCCAAAAGAAACACAACAAUCAUAUUUCAAAAGAUUAAGUUUUAUAAUUUUAAAUAUUGUGCAUUGUUUAUGGGUGCGAGUACAGGUGCCUUGCAGAAUCCAGAAGAGGACAGUGCCUGUCAUGGAGCUGGAGUUACAGGUGCCUGUGCACGGCCAGACAUGGGUGCUGGGAGCUGAACUCAGCUCCCUAGCCACAAAGGCCACCCUUUCAGCCCUAAUAAUCACAUUUGUAAGAGGAGGAGAAGAAAGCCAUUUUAAAUACUCUUGAAAGGUACUUACAUGAAUGAAUAAAAGGAGCCAAGACAUAGAAGUGAGUUAUAUAAAUAGACUACAUCUGACUUUUCAAUUCAUAUGCUUAUUUUUUUAAUCAAAAAUAAAUAUAAAAGGUUUCCUGAGAACAGUUUAGAACAUGGCUGAGAACAAUUCAAGUAUAAUUUUAGUUUCUGCAGUUUCAAAUGUAAGUUAAGAAUUGGCUAAGAAAAUACAAAGCAGUAUUAUUAUAGAGCCCUGAGCAUUGCCCAUUCCAGUGAGAUGACUCAGUGGGUAAAGUUUUUUUGCUGUGAAGCCUACCUAAGUUUGUUCCCUGGAAUCCACAAGACAGGGGUAAAUAACUGUCUCCCCUGUGGUGGCCUGAAUGAAAAUGGUCACCAUAGACCCAUAGAGAGUGGCACUAUUAGGAGGUAUGACCUUGCUGGAGUGGGUAUGGCCUUGUUAGAGGAGGUUUGUCACUGCAGGACAGGCUUUUGAAGUCUCAGAUGCUCAAGCCAGGCCCAGUGUCACUCACUCUUCCUGCUGCCUGCUUAUGCAGAUGUAGAACUCUCAGCUACUUCUCCAGCACCUACUAUGUCUGCCUGUGUGCUGCCAUGCUUGCUGCCAUGAUGAUAACAGAGUAAACCUCUGAACUGUUAGCCACCCCCGAUUAAAUGCUUUCCUUUAUAGAAGUUGCCAUGGUCAUAAUGUCUCUUUACAGCAACAGAAGCCCUAACUAAGACAGAAGUUGAUUGGCUCUGGGGUAUUGUUGUAAUUGGCCUGUCCAUGCUUUUGUUUGGGUGAAUGUGGACUCUGGACUAGAAAAUCAGGUGAGCGCUUAAGUAGGUCUUAAUGGGCAGCUCUGGGAGCGUGGAAGACUGGUGCUGAAGGGGAUUGGAACUACGGGGCCUGGCUCAAGAGGGUUCAGAGGAUAAGAAUAUUAAUAUAUGGCCUAAAAAUUGUUCUUUCAAUAUUUUGCUCUUUGGCUGCUUUCUGCAUUUGUCUAAAAAAAUCUGUGUUGUGUGGCUAUCAGUGGCCUGAUACAGAUGCAGAUCUGUAAUGAAAAGGAGCAAGGGGAGCAAGGGAAGAUACAACAUGUCCUCUCUGAGGAGAAAGGGGCACCAGGAAGUGUAAACAGAUUAAAGACAAGCCUGAUGCUAAGUGGAACAGAGGGAGCGGUGACCUCAGAGCAAGGUCCUGCUCAGCUAAGCUGCCAACUUGUGAAAAGGAAUUAAAGAAAAGCUUAGGGCCAGGCAUGGUGGCGUACACCUUUAAUCCCGGCACUCUGAAGGCAGAGGGUGGCAGAUCUCUGAGUUCGAGAUCAGCCUGGUCUACACAGGCAUUCCAGGACAGCCAAGCAUAGACCAUCAAAACCCAAAAAGCUAAUUAAAAUGUAUUUGAAUGAGGGGCCAUGGCCCGGCCCCAGCAGCAAUAGAACUUGGCACCUUUGGUCACAUGGUUCUGAUUUUAAAGACAAGGAAGGGUACAAGAAAGGUGUUAUGGAAUCUCCCUCUGUGACAAAGGAAAGUUGCUGAGGUCAGGCGUGUGUCAGGGUGUCCCUGCAUGGAGGUUCAGACACACUGUUGUGUGAAGCUGUGAAGGUGAGGCCUCGGUUGCCUGGGAGACCCUGAAAUAUUGGAAGUGCUAGAGCUGCGUGAUACCUGCUGAGGAGAGCUGCUAACAGGGAGUGGAACCAGCCCAAGAGAGAGAAGUGUGCUACAGUCAACAACAUCAACAAAGCAGAGAGGUUGGACUCUGGAGUGAUUUGACAUCAGACGUGGAGAUGCAGUUUGGAGUCUGCCCGGCUGGUUUUCCGUCUUGCUUUGAUCGGUGUUUCCUCACUCUGUUCCCUUUCCUCCCGUUUGCAAUGGCGCUUAUAUCCUGUGUCGUUGUAUGUUGGAAGCAUGUGAUCUGCCCUUUCAUUUUGAUUUUACAGGAGGUUACGGUUAAGAGAUUGCCAUGAGUCUCAGAAUAGAUUUUGAAUUUGGAAUUUUUAAAAAAUGUUGAGACUAAUUGACUUUGGGGACUGUUGAAGGUGGACUGAAUGCUUUCUGCAUUACAAUCCUGCUACAAGCCUGUGGGGGCCAAGGAGUGGAAUGUGGUGGUUUGAAUAAAAAUGGCCCCCACAGGCCCAUGGGGAGCAGCCCUGUUGGAGGAAGUGAGUCACUGGGGGCGGGCUUUGAGUCACCCUCUUUUCCUGCUUCCUGUCUAUGCAGAUGUGGAAGUCUCAGCUACUUCUCCAGCACCUCUCCUGCUUCCAUGCUGUCAUUUUUCUGGCCAUGAUGAUAAUGGACUGAACCUCUGAACAUGUAAGCCAGCCCCAAUUAAAUGUUGUCCUUUA
rnacentral:lncRNA from 1 species